rnacentral:rRNA from 1 species
AGCAGCCGCGGUAAUUCCAGCUCCAAUAGCGUAUAUUAAAGUUGUUGCAGUUAAAAAGCUCGUAGUUGAAUUUCGGGAUCAAUGUUUCGGUCAUGCCCUUGGUAUGUACUGAUAUUAUUGGUUUCUCACCUUCUAAAGAACCGUAAUGCCAUUAAUUUGGUGUCACGGGGAAUUAGGACUGUUACCUUGAAAAAAUUAGAGUGUUUAAAGCGGGCUCACGCUUGAAUACAUUAGCAUGGAAUAAUGAAAUAGGACAUCCGAUUCUAUUUUGUUGGUUUCUAGGAUCGAUGUAAUGAUUAAUAGGGAUAGUUGGGGGCAUUAGUAUUCAAUUGUCAGAGGUGAAAUUCUUGGAUUUAUUGAAGACUAACUACUGCGAAAGCAUUUGCCAAGGAUGUUUUCAUUAAUCAAGAACGAAAGUUAGGGGAUCGAAGACGAUCAGAUACCGUCGUAGACUUAACCAUAAACUAUGCCGACUAGGGAUUGGAUGAUGUUAAUUUUUUAAUGACUCA